GACGAACGCUGGCGGCGUGCCUAAUACAUGCAAGUCGAACGAGUGGCGGAAGGGUGAGUAAUGUAUGGGGAUCUGCGCGAUAGAGGGGGAUAACAACUGGAAACGGAGGCUAAUACCGCAUACUAUCGGAUGAACCCAUAUGGGAUUAGCUAGUUGUGGGGGUACCGGCUCACCUAGGCGACGAUCUCUAGCUGGUCUGAGAGGAUGAUCAGCCACCCUGGUACUGAGACACGGCCCAGACUCCUACGGGAGGCAGCAGUGGGGAAUAUUGCACAAUGGGCGCAAGCCUGAUGCAGCCAUGCCGCGUGUAUGAUGAAGGCCUUAGGGUUGUAAAGUACUUUCAGCGGGGAGGCGUUACCCGCAGAAGAAGCACCGGCUAACUCCGUGCCAGCAGCCGCGGUAAUAC
rnacentral:rRNA from 1 species